rnacentral:rRNA from 1 species
GAUGAACGCUAGCGGGAGGCCUAACACAUGCAAGCCGAGCGGUAUUGUUUCUUCGGAAAUGAGAGAGCGGCGUACGGGUGCGUAACACGUGUGCAACCUGCCUUUAUCUGGGGGAUAGCCUUUCGAAAGGAAGAUUAAUACUCCAUAAUAUAUUGAACGGCAUCGUUUAAUAUUGAAAGCUCCGGCGGAUAGAGAUGGGCACGCGCAAGAUUAGCUAGUUGGUGAGGUAACGGCUCACCAAGGCGAUGAUCUUUAGGGGGCCUGAGAGGGUGAUCCCCCACACUGGUACUGGGACACGGACCAGACUCCUACGGGAGGCAGCAGUGAGGAAUAUUGGUCAAUGGGUGCAAGCCUGAACCAGCCAUCCCGCGUGAAGGACGACUGCCCUAUGGGUUGUAAACUUCUUUUGUAUAGGGAUAAACCUACCCUCGAGAGGGUAGCUGAAGGUACUAUACGAAUAAGCACCGGCUAACUCCGUG